GUGCUCACUUCGGCAGCACAUAUACUAAAAUUGGAAUGAUACAGAGAAAAUUAGCAUGGCCCCUACGCAAGGAUGACCCGCAAAUUCAUGAAAUGUUCCAUUAAAAA
rnacentral:snRNA from 1 species